AACGACUCUCGGCAACGGAUAUCUCGGCUCUCGCAUCGAUGAAGAACGCAGCAAAAUGCGAUACUUGGUGUGAAUUGCAGAAUCCCGUGAAUCAUCGAGUUUUUGAACGCAAGUUGCGCCCGAAGCCAUUCGGCUGAGGGCACGUCUGCCUGGGUGUCACGC
rnacentral:rRNA from 1 species